rnacentral:rRNA from 1 species
ACCUACGGGAGGCAGCAGUGGGGAAUAUUGCACAAUGGGCGAAAGCCUGAUGCAGCGACGCCGCGUGAGUGAAGAAGUAUUUCGGUAUGUAAAGCUCUAUCAGCAGGGAAGAAAAUGACGGUACCUGACUAAGAAGCCCCGGCUAACUACGUGCCAGCAGCCGCGGUAAUACGUAGGGAGCGAGCGUUGUCCGGAAUUACUGGGUGUAAAGGGAGUGUAGGCGGGAUGGUAAGUUAGGUGUGAAAUGCGGAGGCUCAACCUCCGAGCUGCACUUAAAACUGCUGUUCUUGAGUGAAGUAGAGGUU